CUGUAAAUUGAGACACACUCACUCUCUCUCUCUCGCUUAGAAAAACGCAGCAGCAGCACGCAGACGCGGUUGACCGUUGAAGAAGUCGUUCUGAGGCCUGAGCGCAGCUCUGUUCGUCCACGAACGAAAAGGGGGAAAAAUGGGAGAAUCGGUGAAACGAAGCGACCUGGAAGAGAUUUUGAAGCCCUUCUACCAAAGAGCUUCUGAAUCCGAGGAACGCUUAUCAAGACUUGAAGCUGUCCUUGCAAGUAAGAAGAGUAGAUGUUGGAAAUGAGGACCACUUGAGAUUGAUAAGUGAACUUCAGUCACAGCUACAAGAAGCAAGUGCAGAGCUAGUUUCAGAACGAGAAAAGGCACAAAAGCUUGCUGAGGAAAAUGCAAAACUUCAAUAUCGUAUAAUCCAUCUUGUCAGGGCAGCAAAGGAGGCUGAUCUCAAGUUGGAGAGCAAGUCGUGAUGGUGAAGUGGAUGGGGAGGCUUUGAACUGAGCUUAUGGGCUGAGACACACAAUUGGUGGUGAUUUUACUAUUGGAUUGUGAGCUCAAAUAACAAUGAUGGUACUUUAUAAUUUAUAAUGUUAAUGCUGAUGCCCUCGUUUGUCAUCAUUUUCUUAUAUUUUCGUGUCAUAGAAGUGGUCUAAUUAUGCAUUUCUGUCAUGGUCCUUGUGAUCUAAUACAAGUUGCUUAGAUUUAUUAAUGUACUUGAAAAUGCCUGGAAGGAAUGUGUUUGGGUAAUGGCGACCCUUUCUCCCUGGCGGAGUAAUUCUAUAUACCACAUAUUCCCCUAA